rnacentral:lncRNA from 1 species
AGCUCUUCUCUUGUACCCAUGGUAAGUUCUGCAUAUAUUUUUAUACCACUUUAAUACUUUAAUUUCUUCCAUGUAAGGUCAUUUGAAGGUCAAUACUGCUUCACAUGCUCUUUAUUGAUUGAUUUAUGAAUAUUGCUACUUUCAUUUUGACAUAUUUCUAUUUUAUUUACGCCUUAAUUCAUUAUUCAUUGUUUUAGCAGCAAAAUCACAGCAACAAACCUGAUUCUAAUUCACUUAUUCGACAGUUUACAAACUUUAUCUCCUUUAAAUGGAGUUAUAAUCUGCUCUUUUCUCCUUCUGCCAUUGAAAAUCAUCUGAAAAAAGCAGUAAAUUUCCCCCUUUAUUCCUGCAGAGGGCAGUAUAGCACCAUUAAACAUGCUUUGACUUAAAUACUCUUGAGUUUGCAACACUUGUUCACCAUUAACACACAGAUGUCUUGCUGUGUACCUGAGCUGAAGGACGUGAUUUUGAAUGUUUUCAGGCUGGACUGCGUCUGAACUGAGCUUGUAGACAGAACAGCGACAGAGUGAAGCUGCAAACAGGCUGUGCAGGAGCUGAAUGCAGAUUUUUAAAAAAGCGCCAUCCUUCAAUGGGAGCGGUGUCACGGCUCAUUAUGUAACUAAACGUGAGAGAAAAGGGUAAGGUUGACGCCGAUGAUGAGCUGAGGUCCCGGGGGAGUCCAUGUCUUUGAAGCAGACGGUAAAUGUAGACAUUGGCGGGUUAGAGGGACAGGAUGUAAGAAAUGUAACUUUAAAUGAUGUAAAUGGGCAAAGGUUUUCAAAGACGGAGAGAGUCACAUUAUGAAAUUCAAUAACAGGGACUGAACGUGUUGUGUUGGUAAACUUUGAAGCUGGCUGCUUAUUUUAAAAAAUUACUUUUUGCAUAUCCCACUGAGGAUUUUUGGUCUAAAAGAGGUCUAGUAGACGUCUAAAUGUAGCCUAGACGACUGAUCUUAAAUCAGGCUACUACAGGUCUAAAAAUAAAAGGUUUUUAGACGUCUAAAUUUAGACCAAUUUUAGACUAGCUGGCUAACAGAGGUCUAACUGUAUAUUGCUCAACAGCCAUAAUAUUUAUUUUGGUUAAGUACUUGGAGAUCAGUGUUGCUUUUUGAAAUAAAUAGUUAUUGAAUAAUGGGUUAAAGUGCAACAUCUGAAUUCUGUCUAAAUUGCUCAGUGGGAUAAUAGUUUCCUGUCAAUCAAGUCUGCUUCUUCCAGGUUGCCUGUUUUGACUUUGAAAUUAAAAAAUGAUGAGGCCAAAUCAGAGCCGGCCCAAGCCUCAAUGGGGCCCUAAGCAAAAUUUGAUUUUUGGGCCCUCAGUUUCUGCCAAAAAUAUUGAUUGUUGAUCAUUCACACAUCUACUACAGUAUAAAUUUAAUGCGCUUGACAUGUCUUUACACAUUUAAGGCGGUGGCCAAGGUAAUAACAUAAAUAAUACCAAUGCAACCAUACAAAUAAUACCAAUGAAUGACAGAUGAACGAUGUUCAGGGUGCCACAUAUGGUUUUUAAUCUCAAAAUGUAACACAUUCAAGAUGUUCAGUGCACAUGGCACAGCAGACGGUGGCAGAGCUUUGACAUAUCGUCAGUAAGAAUCAUAGGCCUACAUCCGCAGCAGCACUAAAAUGUUUAUACUUAAUUUUAUUUUUAAAAUAAUAUAUAUUUGAUCAUACAGAAAGCAUCACUCAUACAUGCAAAAAAUAAAAAAAUAUUAUUUUUUUGAUUGCUCAUGGGGCCCCCCUACUGGCUGCGGGGCCUUUGCUUAUGCCUUGGGCCGGCUCUGGGCCAAAUAUUCAAAAAGCGGGAAGCUAUCUUCAGAUGUAGCCUUCCAAAAUAUCCUCCUCAAAAUGUUUUUAAUGAUGGUUAAUGGAGUUAGCCAGCUAGCUUCCCUUUGCUAGAUGACAGUGGUGGUGCUAUGUGAGGCCAGCAAAAUCCUCCAGAGACCAGAUCACUAAAUUUUUCAGCCUGAAACGGAUCCUUUGAGCCAUGUUCUUGGAUUGAAACAUGGCUCACAUCUUAGCUUCUCUGUAACUCAAACCCCCCAAAAUGGCAGGGACAAAUAAUUUAGGCAAACAGAAGUUUUGUGGUCGUCCUUGUUUGUACCAUGUGCCACCAGCACUGGGAACAACUCUGCUUCAAGUUUUCUAAAUGGAUAAUAUGUUUUUAGCAAUGUUAUCGAUUAAACAUGCACCGAUAAAUCAGCCGGCCGAUCGAUCGGCGCCGAUUUUCUCAAUUUUGGGGGAUUGGUGAUCGGCUGAUCCUUACAUAUGAAACCGAUUUUAUCCACAGAUCUUAUCUACCUCAGCAAAGGUCUGGAAGUCCGCCGUUGUAGCUUUUUCCUUUGCCAGAAUGACAGGCAUAUCAUGAUCAACCAAGCUUGUUGAAUUCACUACAAGGAAACCUAAAACUCAGGACAGUUUAUUGGUGUUUAAGUUGUGUUGUUAGUCUGUCCUGUAGAUUAUUAUUUUAUGUGCAGUUAAAACAAACACAAAAUAAUAAUCUACAGGACAGGCUAGUAGUAUAUACUAGUAUCAUUCAAUGUUUUUCAUUGAAAUAAGAUUGGAGCAUCGAAGGUGUAUGUUUUCAGUUAUAAAAUAAAUUGGCAUCGGCUAAAAUCGGAAUCAGCAGGUCAAGCUUUUUAAAGAUCGGUGAUCAGUGAUUGGCCAGAAAAUUGUGAUCGGUGCACCCCUGUUGUCAAUGAUAGCUUUGUAGCAUAAGUAUGUUCAAAGUGUAACACAACACAAACCUUUGAUAGUAUUUUAAUUAUCUGGCUGUGCCACAUACUUGAUUUUGAUUGGUCAACACCCACUGGCACUGGCAAAUCCCUCUCGACAGCAAAUGUGAUGCGAAGGACAACCUUAUCAGACAUGUCUUAUCGAAUAAAUGGAGCCCAGCACAUUUGUAAAAAUGUUAUAGGAGUAAUUUUUACAUUUAAUAACAAAACAUUGAAGGAUUUUUAAAAAAUUUGAUAUAAAGUAAACUAAAAAGAAGACCAUAAGAAGGCUUAAGUCUAAAGUUGACUGUCAAUUGAAGCGUUCAGAUUAAUGUUAAUUUUCCCGCAAGUAGGUCGAUCAGAAUCUGUUUCCGUUGAAUCGGGACGUUUCUCCCUGGAAAAAUAAGAAUUUUUCAAAUGAACUAAAUCAUCUUGUUGUUGAUAUUCUGUGUCAUCUUGUUGCUUUUUUUAGUGAGUAGCUGUCUGAAAAUGUUAAAUGAGCUUCGUAACAGGGUCACGCUCACCCUUUCUUGGUUCUAAUUUGCAUAAUCACCUCCUCACUAUACAUUACCUGUCAGUGAAUGACUCCCUCUUGGAGUCUGUAGUCCUGGGGUAUAAAACUUCACUCUUGCUCUGUUAUAAUACUCUUAGGAAACUCCCAUAUUAAAGUGCUGAUUCCUGCUAAUUGCAUUUCAGUAUGACCCACCUUUAUGUACUGCUGCAGUAGAGGAUAACUAACUUGAAAGUGCUUUUUAUGUGCUGUUUCCAUUUUACUGUGUAUCCCCUGCAGAGAGAUUAUCACCCCCCAUUACAUUUUUCUCUGCUUUUCCAUGCUUUAUAUGAUUGUAAAUUGAAUACCUGUAGGGUUUACACUGUUUAAACAAAAAAAAUCAAGCUGUUUAAAGACGUCAACUUGUGCUCUGGGACAUUUUAUUGACUGAACCUAAUUAAAUGUUAAUCAAAAUAAUCAUUUGUCGCAGCCCUGAGGCGGCAUCUGUCACAGAAUCCUAUUUAGAGCAGUUUUUAAUCUCUGAAUAGACACUGAAAUGACACAAUCAAAUGGAAAUAUUCUGUUUUUCCACGCUAAAUGUGAUUUUGAGUGAGAACUGGCACCAGGUGGUGCGUGCCAAGGAGAGCUGAUAAGUGCUGGCUCAUGAGAUUCAGGCCUGAUUCCACAAAAGCAAUUUGCACCUAUUGCUGAAGAUGAAUCCAGUUAAUGUAAAUGAAGAAACCGCCCUGCAGAGCACUCGAGCUGAGGCCUCUCGCUAUCUAGUGCCCUUAUCUACAAAUGCACUCGGCUGUGCUAAUGGCGUACCUAUUUCAAUGCCACAUUAUAAUAUCAUUUCUGAUCCAAUAGCCUUGUUGUACACAGAGUACUCGACUAAAACAGUGUGCUUAUGAGCUGUUACUGUUUUAUUUCUCUUCUGGUUUGUGCACACCUGCUAGGGACACGACGCAGAGUUUGAUUGAGGUCAGGAAAAUAAAGAAAAGCAGAGGCACUCGGAGAUGCAGGGAGGCCGUAAAAAGACGGAGAUUAGGCGGAGUAGAAAGGCAAUGAGAGAUGGGAGAGAGAAUAAGGAAAGCAGAUAAGGGAUAAUGAGGUGUUCGUGGGAAGAGUGAUAGAGGGAAGAAAGGAAAAAAGCAAAUAAUGGGCGAGUGAAUUUGGGGAGAUAAAGGUGAAAGAGGAGAUAGAGGAAGGUUGUGGUAUAUCGAGGAAGAGCCGGGGCUGUAAGUGUGUGAGGGAGUGUGACAUAGAUGGACUCGGUCUUUGAUUGACAGCGCAGCGUGAGGAUGGUUCAGGGGAGCAGCGGGGUCGGCUGGGAGGCAAAAUAAGAGCAGGAAGGAUGCAAAGGGAACAGGUGUGUUUGUGUUUAGUGGCUAUAAAAAGCCUGAGCAGUUUGUUUUGGUGACUGCGAGAGAGGUUUAUGUUUAAAUUGGACAAUUAACUGAGAAAAUUUGCCUUCAUUUAGUGGCACAGCAAAAAACAACAGCAGCACAAUUACAAAAAGAUCCCCCGAUGUCAUACAAAUUUAAGGCUUAUUGCCUGUUAUUUUUCAUUUUAUUUAAUGACUCUGCAUUUAAUGGAAAUCUGCUUCCACACUGCAAAACACCUAUGAAAUUCAGUUUUUAAAGCUCCUGUGAGGGUUUUUAACCUGAUCAUGAAACACACUGAAAACAGCAGCAAGUCCUACUGAAGACCUGCAAAUACAAACUAAGUUAUGAGCACAAAGACUGACAUCUUUUAUGGUGUUGUUUUUAAGCCUUAAACUACUUGAACGGGGGUAGGUUAGAAAACCUUUGUUAAACCUUUUGGGCUGGUUUCCAAUGGGUAACUGUAGUGUAAGUCAAAAUAUGUUUAACAUGCAAAUGAAAUAUGAAAUAUGCUAAAAAAAUUCAUGACAUACAACCAUUUAGCCUGUUACCACCAGAUACAGAAAUAAAAUCAGUCCCAAGGGGCCAAAGCUGCAGUUCCUCGACUGUCCACUUGGGGCUGACAAUCCACAAACACUGUUUUUAUGUAAAUUUUAGUAGAACUCAUUAAUAAUGAAGAUAUUAAGGUCCUUACUCAUUGGAAACGAUGCAAAUAUGCAUCGCGAAAUUACGAAAUAUUCGGAGGCGAAUUUUGAUGCGCCUGACUAUACACAUCAAGCGCAAUGAGAUUUUGCGACUUUCUGGGGGGAAAAAAGACGCGUCCAGGGUGGAAGCGAGAAGACGGACACAACAGCAGACUGAGUGUUCUUCAGUUCUGAUUAGACUCUAGUGUUGAGAUGUCUUAUGCCAGUACCAGAUAAGCACAUUAAACUAUAAUCCAUAAACGUAAGGUAACAACCGAGACCUAAUGGUGCUGUGACAGCAACGCUGUGAUUGAGUUUGAGUUUACAGUGAAAAUACAUAUGGUAUGUUGUAUCUGAACAGGUUAGCUUACGAGCUAAAGUUACUUAGCACAGAUGAAAGUUAAAACAAAGACGUUUAUCAAACUGUUAAAGCUCACAAACCAUCGUCAUAUGAGAAAUCCGACGCUAUGACUCUCCACAAGUCGUCCUUCAGGUCGUUAUCUUUGUAAUAUUUGUGUCUUUUAUCAAAAAUCACUCUGUUCUCCGCCACGUAAACAAUCAGCCGGUCGGCCAUGUUGGAUAUACCGGUGAAUCUGACGUCGCAACAACACGAAAUCUGAUUGGUCAGAAGUGGACACACAGUAUGCGAAACUUAAGAAAAUUCAACUGUAAUACAAAAAAAUAAAUGCCGCAAUAUCGCAGGACGGGAAAACGUUGUUGAUGUUAACGCUCAUAUUGACAGGAUACGGGUUCGAAAAAAAAUACUGACGUUCGUAAUAAUCGCACGAAAAAAAAUAAAACGCUCCCGGUGUGUAAGGACCUUUUUAAGGUUAGAAAUUUUGCAAAAUUUGUAGCAUGUGUGACUUGGUUGGCUUGUUGUUGCUGUAGCUGUUAGCAAGAAGGCUAAAGACCCGUAACAACUCCACCUCUUUUCUUGUUAAGUCAACCAAAAGUCAGCAUUUUCAGUUUGUUGACCACCAUCAAAAUGCUUUCAACUGAAAGAGUGAUGCCACUGAGACUACAGCCAUAUUUUUAUGUCAUCUACAGUUGCAGCACAGCCAGAAUAUAUUUAUAUAUUUUCACACAAGUCAAACUGCAGAACGAAUUGCUAAUCAUACACUCACAUUUUGGGUUUGCAUCUAGGGUGGCCGGCCAGAUUUUGGGGCCCAUGCAACCCCUCACUGCCCAUCUAGACACGCCCCUGUGCAUUACCAUAAAAUGAUUUCUACUCUCUGCACAGGAAAGAGGAGAUUUAAGACCUUUUGAUGAUCUAGUUUUCAUUCAUACUGUAGUUUUAGUCCAUAUUUUUUGCACACAGGUUUUGGUGCACAGGGGUAUAAUUCUGCAGCUCUUUCUUUUUUUUCAGCUGCAUCUCUCAUUUUAAUAUCUGUGCUCGACAUGUCAUUGAUGCCUCACAGGUUUAAUUAAAGCCCAGCUGCGGGUGCAUCAAUAUGCUCUGGUGUUCGGAGAAAGUAUUGGUUUAUGCACCUGCAGAGCUGCUUAUUAGACAGGGCUGUCAGGUAGCGUGCAGGUCAAGGGUUGAGGACAUUAAAUGGUAAAAGUGCGACUCUUACACUGUUGCGUUUGUGCAUUGCAGUGUGCAGUCGGAUUAACAAGUGAGUUGCACAGCAGGAGAAGUGCUGAGCUAAGACAGGAAGGUAAAUUCAGGUUGGAGAAAAGCAUCAUUUGGCUGAAACCGACAGCGAGAAAUAAAAGAGAUUUUCCAAGGAAGUUAUUUAUGUUUUAUUGGGUGUCUUUUUCUGACAGGAAAAUAAUAAAAACCACAAAUAAAGAAGUCUGUCUGUGCAAAAUUCAAACAAUCUUGCUGUUUUUCUCAGAUCUCUGUGUGUUUUUGUCCCCGUCCCAACUUUCUGUUUUUAAGUCUUGGCGUCCACGCAGCUGAUAUUAAUCUAAAGUGCGGCUUUUUUUGACCACACAAUAGACAGCUGUGGUACUCUGUUAGACUCAUCCAUGCUGUGCUGAGCAGUAAUUACUCGCUAGCAGACAGUGGAGGAUAAGAACAGCAAAAGGAAUCAUUAGGGAGCUGUCAGGUACCAAAAACACUGCUAGGUGUUGUUGUUGUUGUUGUUUUUAGCACUUCUGUUUUGCUGAGGAGCACACAGGAGGAAGAAAAGAUGAAAAAGAGAGCAUGAGGCGGUGAAAAUAAACAAAGAAACCCUCGACGCAGACUCUUGAUGAAGCAAAAACGAGUGUGCAGCAAGAGUGCAUACACUCAUGAGUUGUGUAAAUGAUUUUUAAGACAAGACAUAACCCCCUAGCCCGGCUUUUACUGUAUUAGUCCAGCUCCCCGCUGCCUUUACACUUUAAGAUUCCUUCUCGGUUUAAUUUACUUGAGUCUUUUUAUUACUUCUAAAGCCUUUCAUGGUUUGGCUCUCUUUAGAUAUUUCUGAUCUUUUCUGAUCUGCAGUCUGCAGCGGGGGUUUUCUGAGGUUUUAGAGCCAAGUGCUGUAAAAUGUUUCACAGGCCAGUCAAAUACACGGUCCUGAUUUCACGCUGAGGCGUAAAAAUCCAACUUUCGGUGCAGUUAACUCCAUUUUUGACGACUACCUGCAUUUUUUAAAAAUAUAUAUAUUUUCAGAUUUUUACUUCGCUUGAUUGCACACUCACUCUUCCUCCGCACAAUACGAAUCAAUGCUCGAUCCUGCUGCAAAAUACGAGCUACGCUUUCUAGUUAUAGCUCUGUGGGUUCAAACUAAACCUUCUCAUUGAUGCUCUUUUUUGAUUAUUGAUUUUGAAAAGCUCCAGAAAAACAAAGAUACAUAUUUGAUGCACAUUUUUAGCCAGGCUUGAUGCGCUCCUCAGGCGGUUCAUUAACCCCAAAAAAGGAAAAUCAUUAUAUUUCAUGAUGAAUGUAUGUAGGCGGCGGUUGGAGUGUUUGAUUCUGAGAGCACAUGGAGGCAAAGAAAACUGUCAAAUCAAAGCGGAGAGUGGAGCUCUGAUGUUAAUAAGCAGAGGAAAACGGCUGUCUGUAAAAUCUUGAAGAGUGAUUGUUCCCUGAGGGGUGAAUGAGACAUCGCCAGAGGAGUGAUUCUGCCCAGAGGGGAGGUGUUCGUCUUUUUCAGAGCUUACACUUAAGUGACCCUCUCGGCUUGUCAUACAGCUCAGGUUCAUGCAGCGCAGAGGUGCACGGACUUGAGUUGUUAUAUGUGUCAUGCAAGGAAACGCAAAGAUUAAAGAGCCUAAAAAGAGGCUUCAGGGGAGGGAGGGAAAGGAAGAUGAUUCAUCAAAAACAAGCUUUUUAUCUUCUGCUUUUAAAAGUUAACAAACAAACCAAGUCGCUUCAAGGUCUCCAAAACUGGAAUAAUGAACAAGGAUGUGAAAAGAAACUGUCGAGUGGCCAGAUGAAUGAAUUUCUCUCAUCCUUGUGUUUGCCAAAAGAUGAAUUAUGCUGACUCUUUAACAGAAUACAGUUGGAGAUGUUAGUUCAAUAUCGAAUCAAAUUUUAUUUAUAUAGCGCCAAUUCACAACAGUCGUCAUCUCAAGACGCUUUUCAAAGAACAAGAGCAGGUCUAGACCACGCUCAUUGUUUGAUGAUCAAGAACCAACCUAAGAUGGGAUUUGGCCCAUCUCAACUAACAUGAGUUACAGUGGCGAGGAAAAACUUCCCUUUAACAGGCAGAAACCUUGAGCAGGACCAGACUCAAGUUAGACAACCACCAGGCCGCUGCUGGGUUAGAGAGGGAGAGAGAAGAGGGAGAGGGCAGGGAGAGAGAGUAGAGAAUGAGGGUGAGAGAGAGACAGGGGGCAGCAGAAACAACAGCAACAACAACAACAGCUCAUGUAAUGGUGAAACAAAAUGAGUUCAGUUUACAGGGUUAGGAUACGAGUGAUUAUGGACAAUGUUGAAUUAAUUAAAUGUGAUUACAGUCAGCAGGCCUAAUCGUAGUCAGCUCUAGUUUUAUGUUAUUAAUGUCAGUGAGGCUGAUGUUCAUGUCUGCAGUAACAGUCCAGAGGAAUCCAAGAGAAGAAGGAGCUCAGGGCCUGAGGUGGACAAUCGUAGAUGAUGCGGCUAACAGUCCAGAGGAAUCCAAGAGUUCAUGAUUUUAAGACGUUUUUUUUUUUUACUUUAUUUCGGCAGGAGAGCUUUAAAAAGGAGGGAAACAUUGGAAAAUUGCAGCAAAUGGGGAACCUCCGACAAUCAGUGCGACUGAGAACCAGGAACCUACUCUACGUUCAUGCUCUGGUGAGGAAACUGGUUUUUUUUUUACCCAUUUUGGUGCCCCCUUUGGACAAAAACUCUCAUAUAUGUACUCCUAUAUAAACCUCUUACACCUCAUAUUGCAUUUAAAAGUAUUUAUUUGGGGAUAAAAAAAUCACAUCAUGUCUGUUUUACACCAUCAGAUGUAUAACUUAUUGAAAACGCAGUAUAAAAAUGAGAAUGUGGAGCAGUCUGAUUCACCAAAGUUCAGUUUUAGCUGUGCUUUUGGUCCACCAUGGUCACAAAAACCAGAUAAUUGAGUGUUGUGCUAAACCACUCUCACUUCAACUACUUUAGUUUGUAAGGAGGUGAUGGAGCCAAGGCUAAGGCUAGACUGGCUACCUAGCAUACUGAGCAUGCUCCCAUUGAACCCGGCUUGGGGUGGUCGGCUAAAGUACAGCAUGUCUUAAUCAGGACUUUGAAUUCAUGUGCAGAAAAGUUUAGGAGUGUGGAGAAGUUGUGCAUGUUGCAAAAUGUGCUCAGUGUGUAUGUGGAGUGUAUGUGUGUUAGUAAAGCAGAGGGAAAGAGUGAGCACAAGGAGAGAGGUGAAAAAGAAUUGGUGGAGUGGAAUAGUGAUGGGCACGGCAGUUCUUUUAGGUGUACUGUUUCACUAGAUUCAGUUCACUUAAAAGAUUUGGUUCUUUUUAACGAAUCGUUCGCAAACGACACAACACUAGAGUGGAAGUCUGUUCGUAUUUCUGUUCAUGCUUCCUCCAGCAGACUCUGUGGAUGUUUUGUAAAGCUGUUAUUGUACGUUUGGACAUGCUCCUACUGUGGUGUAAUCAGUCAGCGUAUCGAGGUGCAGUAAGGCCAUGUAGAUUACAUUCUAAUGUUGAUGAGCUCUGCAAACACAAGCAGCACAAAGAGGACUGUGAAAGGACCUUUUGCUUUUUAGCAUUUCACGCAUGAUGUAGAUUUUCUGCUCUUCAGGGUAGAGGCUGAACUGCUGAUAAGAGAAACUCCUCUGCAGGGCCUUUUUUCAUGAUUUCACACCAAGCGUUCUGGUUGGUUGUUUAGGAAUGUGUAGCUUAGACAUGUGGAAAAAUACCACCUUCAAUCAGACCCAGACAAAAUCAAACAGGUUCAGAUCAAACCUAUCAUCAGCUGCUGGACCUCGUCUCCGACGUUUGCUGUUAUUUUCUUUGAGCAGAGACAGUCUUCUCUGUUUUUUUUUUUUAAAGCGGCUUUAUCAUUUUGGAAGGUCAUCUUUCUCCACAAAGACCAAACUCAUUAAAUUCAUCAUGCAGACAGGAAGAGUUUCAGGCUUUGUUUAACGGACCCCAAGUCUGAUUGUCUGUCUGGAAAUUAGCAAUCAAGAUCUGAAGACAAAGUGAAUCUUUUCAGGCGAAAUAAAAGAGAGAAAUUACACAUUCAGGUCUUCGUCAUCCAGGUGCAGAAAUCUGAAAGCUGGGAGUGAGUAUUAGUUGUGUUUAUAAAAACCCUCCUCUGGUCUUCCUCCCUUGAGUUGCACACUUUUAUUAUCAAAACGGUCCAGGGAUGAUGGGAUUUCCAAUCUCUCCCAUGCAUCACGUUUUAUUGAAGCACCUGCUUGUAAUUGUUGGAAAGUGGACAGGUGUGAAAGAAAGUUGAGUCUUUUUUGUUCCUGUGUGAGCCUUACUUAGAAUUUAAUGAUGGGAAAAAUCUUUAGAGCAGAGCAACAGCUGUUCGACUGUAUGCCCAAGUCAGGUGUAAUAAAGACCGACAGAGGAGGGAGGCUUUUCGUUUCUUUAGAAGAAUCAGUUCAGAGAAUUUUUUUAUCAGACGGGUCCUUCAAAAGCUUUGAGUUAAAUUUAAAAACCAUAAUAGUAAAAAUACACAACAGCAAAAACUAUAUUUCUGUGUUCACCUUGACUACAUUCUGGUCUAAUGGUACCAGCCAAGAUCUGACUUUGCGAAGACCCAAUCAGGGUUCUUCAAAAUCCCCAUACUGGGUUUUCAAAACCCUUCCUCCAUUCAUUUUGUCACAUAAAAAACAGUUAAAACUACAUUUAGGUGUCCACGGUACCAUCCUACAGUACCAGCCAAGUCCCUGCUUUCUAAAAAUCCAAUUUGGGUCCUUCAAAAGCUUUUAAAUCUAACAGCUUUAUAAACCAUCCUUCAAUAAAUCGUGACACAUGAACAUUAAAUUUAACUAUAUUUUGGUGCUUAAGUAGACCAAGUUUGACCUUUUUAUAGUACCUACCAAGUCCCUGCUUUCCAAAGAUUCAAUUUGGGUCCUUCAAAAGCUUUGAGUUAAAUUUAAAAACCAUGACAGUAAAAAUACACAACAGCAAAAACUAUAAUUUGGUGUUCACCUUAGCUACAUUUUGGUCUUAUGGUACCAGCCAAGAUCCAGCUUUGCGAAGACCCAAUCAGGGUUCUUCAAAAUCUCCCAACUGGGUUUUUAAAACCCUUCCUCCAUUCAUUUUGUCACAUAAAAGACAAUUAAAACUACAUUUAGAUGUCCAUGGUACCAUCCUAUGGUACCUACCAAGUCCCUGCUUUCCAAAGAUUCAAUUUGGGUCCUUCAAAAGCUUUACAUUUCAAAGCUUUAUAAACCCUCCUUCAAUUUAUCGUGACACAUGAACAUUUAUAUUUAACUAUAUUUUGGUGCUUAAGUAGACCAAGUUUAACCCUUACAGUACCUACCAAGUCCCUGCUUUUCAAAGAUUCAAUUUGGGUCCUUCAAAAGCUUUGAGUUUAAUUUAAAAACCAUAACAGUAAAAAUACACAACAGCAAAAUCUAUAUAUUGGUGUUCACCUUAGCUACAUUUUGGUCUUAUGGUACCAGCCAAGAUCUGGCUUUGCAAAGACCCAAUUGGGAUUCUUCAAAAUCUCCAAAUUGGGUUUUCAAAACCCUUCCUCCAUUCAUUUUGUCACAUAAAAAAACAGUAAAAACUACAUUUAGGUGUCCAUUGUACCAUCUUAUGGUACGAGCCAAGUCCCUGCUUUCCAAAGAUUCAAUUUGGGUCCUUCAAAAGCUUUAAAUUUAAAAGCCUUAAAUUUAAAAGCUUUAUAAACCUCUCUCAAUAAACCGUGACACAUGGACGUUAAAUGUAACUAUAUUUUGGUGCUUAAGUAGACCAAGUUUGACCCUUACAGUGCCUACCAAGUCCCUAUUUUUCAAAGAUUCAAUUUGGGUCCUUCAAAAGCUUUAGAUUGGGCUUUAUAAACUAUCCUUCCACUUAUGAUACAUGAACUAUAGAUAGGACAAUAUUUUGGUCUUUAAGUAGAUCAAGUUUGACCCUUACAGUUCCUACCAAGUUCCUGCUUAGCAAAGGCCUGGUUCAGGUCUGGAUCAGAGCCUUUUGCCACAUUGUUAACAGGCAGAGGUGAAGUUUAUCACAACCCCUUUCAGACUGAUUUGAUAUGAUGUGAUCAGGUUGUGCACAGUUCUUAUGGGGUCAGUCGGAGCCGGGUGUUUAAGGUGAGACUGUCAUUUAUCGUUUCAACUUUGCGUUGACAGAAAAGCCAAAGAUCUCCUGAAAUAACUAAACUACGUUCUCUCUUUAUGUGGACAGGCGAGGCCGAUUCUGACUUUUAAAUACCCAUAAAAGUUUUGUAAGUCAUCUCAUCGAUCCUUUUCUGACCGCUGAAAAAUAGCACUCACCUCCUCUGCUGCCUCGACUCCUUCAUCUCUCCGACCAAAGCCCUCCAAGAGCACAAACAAACUCUCCUCUUUGCUGUCUUCCCUAUAAAUGUCCAUAUUGAUCAGAAACUCCUACUUACUACUUACAAAGCAACACAGGGCCUUGUGCGUCAGAGUGCUGCUGCUCUGAUUUAUUUACUACUUAUCAGCCCACCCAUACUCUGCACUCACAGGAUGCCUUGUCAUCCUCUCUUAUUUGAAAUUAAACAGCCAGGAGCAAAGCCUUGGCUCCUUUAUUUUUCACCCUAUCUAUCCUUAACGGACCCGCAGUCUAUCAUCUCGCUUGCAUGUGACCGCAUGGCUCUGAAGCUCAUAAACUGUGAAGCAAAGGAUGGCUGAUCUGAUGGUCACUGCAGCUGAGGCAGAAAGUAGCCGGUCAAUAAAGCCAGAGAGUGAGAUGCUUCUCUGAGAGAGUUACAGAAAGGUGUAGGGGUAACGGUAAAAACCAUACGUCUGAGCACAUUUCACCUGUCGCUCUGUCUGAGUGUGUUUGGGUGCGGUGUGAGGACUCUUCAGGCCCCUCUGGGGACAGAUAAGCACUUGUAAAAAAUGAGCUCCCAUUACUCAGAAUAUGAGUAAUUAUUGGUGUUAUGAUUUCUUCUUGCAAUCUGAAAUGUUGUUUACCCCCAGAUUUAUAUCGAUCCGUCUACGUGUGGACAAUUUAAGACAUAAGAUUCCACUUAACAAGAAUUGCCUCUCGCUUUAAUGUCAGUCUGUCCACAUAUGGGAACGAUGGGGACCAGUUUCUGGAGUUUUAAAAGUCAGACGUACAGACACCAGGACUCUCCUACAACUGAGCCAUGCUGUUGUAAAUGCAAGCAGAAUGAUUUCGUGUCCAUGCGGUGACUUCCACUACAGAGUUAUGCUUCUUUUUACUCAAAGGUGGGGUAGGCAGGAUCUGAGGAAGUUCCAGUUUUUGGGAGAAAUCGUGAAUGUAAACUCUAAACUCUACCCCUCCCAACCAGUUUUCCCCUCAGCUCCUCCUCUCUGCUCCAGCAAACCCCGCCCACAAACAGACGCUCCUGCUCGCUCGUAUCGUUUUAAUUAAAUUCAGAUUUAAUGCAGAUAAAUACUUCAGAUAAUUACAAAUGGGGCCCAGUCAAUGUGAAAGUAAACAGCAUUGGUGCUACUGUAGAUGCCAACAGACUACCAGCAAACACAAUGUUUGCAGGACUUCUAAAACAAGGAUAAAGUGACAUAGUCCAGGACCCGAGUUAAACGGUUUAGCGGCGCUACAACACGCAGCAGGUCCGUUUGACAAGAAACACUUCUGUUACAGACACUUGUCUUACUUUGUUAAAGCGGUUUACCUGUCCAGCAGAAAGGUUACAGGGUCUGUAAAGCGUCCCCCAUGAUUGUCGACCCGGCUUCUUAGCUCUUGUCCCGUCUACCUCCGUUUUAAGCGCCCGUUAUUCCUCCAGAGUCUCCGGUAUUUAGUUCGUUUUCUUGCUUGUGUCGGCAGUCGUGGCUAAAGGAGGAUUCAGACAAUUUCCCGAACUUUCUGGUCGGUUUCUUUUGUCCGAUAUUGUAGCACGCUAACUUUGUUUGGGCUCCUGAAUGACAGGGGAGAGCAGCUUCCGUCUCACAACCAAUCAGGUCGGGGAAGCGGAUAAUGGCUUUGUUUACAGUCAGAAAGAGAUUUUAAAAUGUUGACCACACAGACAUAAAAAAACACAGUGAUAUCGUUAUAAUACCAAAUGUCAUCAAUAACUAAUAGCUAUUGACUGAUAUUAAAGCUUUUUUUUUAUAUACACCACAAAAAAAGAUGCUUCUUUUUUUUCCAGUGAUAGAUUUUCUGAAUCACUGAAUAAAAUUUUAAACGUUUUCUGCGGUGCUUGAGCAUUAAAACUGAAUAUUUAAUCAUGUUAAAUCAUCUUGAAAUUACCUUAUAAAAUCGCAGUUAUUUACCAUUGAAUGUAAAUAACUGUAAAAAUGGAAUCAGGGUAAAAGAUUGGACAAGGAUUCCCCCGAUGUACUCCAAAACCAACCCCAGGAUCAGACUUUAAAAAUACCUUUGAUAUUUUGUCAGUGCCUCCUAGCUAGACCACCUGACAUGUAUUUUUACUAUUACAUGAGUUCACAGUGAAAGCCAGAAGACAUCAGUAUUCAGGGCGGCGCGUUGAGCUGUUAUGGGACCACUGGUCAGACAUAAUGAAUGUGUUUGAGACCAGACUUCAUGUAAAGUGAAUGUGGGAAAAAAUGAAGUUCGCUUGACCUCAAUAUAUUCCCCCUCAGCUCCAGAAAAUUGCUUUUAGCUUCGGUCCUUCCACUUGAUAUCUUUUUCGCCAAUCACAAAGAUCCACCGAGUGUCCUCUGUGUCGCUGCACCGUCAGCGCUGCUGUCCUGGCUAAGAUUGUGCUUAAGAGCAUGAUGCACAUGUGCCAAGUCAGCAGCUGUCACCGAAAAAAGUGAGGGAGGCCGCAGUAUGAAAAGAAAUCUGUUCCAGCUUGACACUUUUUCAACUUGCAAGAAUGGCAAAAAAAACACGGUGGAGUGGAGUGGCAGAGGGGCCCAGUGGGUAAACAGACUCUUCUCUGCUUGAAAAUAGAGACUCGAGUUUCUGCUUUGGAAGGUGUCCACCCUCCUGAAGUGUCCUUAAGCAAGACGCCGACUCCCCAGUGUGAGUGCAAGCACGCUAACAAGCUACAAACGCCACAGCUCAUGCAGAUGGCUGCAAAGUGUGUAAAAAACAGCGCAACACAACUUGUUGACGCUGAAAAUUGUUUUUUCUUUUUUUGCACGAAAAUUGUGAAUUUAUUUUUUGUCUGUGAAAAUAAAUCAAAGUUUUUUUUUAAAUGUGGGACUGGAUACCUAAUCUCAGUGGUGAUUUUAUGAAAGCAUUUACCUUGCAGAAAAACAAAACAAAACAGUUUUAUCCAAUUUCAGUUUAUUCAUUUACUUUCAACCUUUUUCUAACAAAGUCAGUCCCAUUGUGAUUAAAAAUCUAAUUUUCAAGGUAGACCUUGCUUUAAAAUUUUGUGGUGGCAUGUGUUCAAUAAUUUUGUACUCAUAAAUACUCAGAUUUUGGUUCACAUUGGCUGUUGUUGCAAUUUUUAGGAAGAAUGUGGUUUCUAGGGUUAAAGCUCCUGUAAGGAAUUUUUUAACAUGUAUGAAAUACUCUCAAAUAUACAUUGUUGCUUUUUUAUGAUACACACACAAAAAAGACCUUCACUGACAAGAUAUACAAAUUUAUAUUGUAAUUUUGAAUGUCUAAAACUAGUGUGAGAGGGUAGGUGUCAGAAACAGCCAUGCUAUUUUUUUAUUUUUAUUUAUUUUUACAUAUUUUACAAUAAAUUAUACAUUUGAGUAUCAAAAAUCAGCAGGACAUUUUUUUUAAGAAUUACAAUUUUUUCUUUUUUUUUUUAUUUUUAUUUUAUAGUUCAGAACUUGUUCGUUAAGCAUGUAGGGACUACUUUGACCAUAGGGGGGUGCCAAAGAUACACAUUGAAAGAUCCUCACAGGAGCUUUAAUUUUUCAAGUUACGGUUGGUUAAAAAUGUUGACAGUUUGUAGUCUAUUGUGUAGAUUCAGACAGCGGUAAGCAAAACUUCUGUACUUUAUGCCUGAAUUUUGAAUUACUUCUUUAAUUAUUUAUGGAUAGGAUUUCAAAACAGUACAUACAACCAAAUUAUUAUCAAAGAGGGUCUUUAAAGUACCAUAGAGCUGAUUAGGACAGUAUGUUAAUAAAUAUACAUGAAUUACAUGAUUAAAGCUCCAGUGGGGAAGAUUUAGCUAGUAAACAAACAAGCUAAAAUGAAUACUGAUACCUCUUUAUGACCUACAUAAGCAAACAAGACCAUUCUCAGAAAUACUGAAAUUGUGGCAGGGGGUAGGUGUCAAUUAAAGUCAAAAUACACAUUUUUUUACACUCUCUGUGACUCAGUUUCUGAAUGGGAUGUGGUAAACACAUAACAAGGGCACCAAAAUCAACACAAACCAAAGUCACCCACAGGAGCUUUAAUGCAGGAUACAAAGUGGAGGAGCUACAUAGAAGAAUGAGAGUGUCUCAAAGCCUGAAAACCUGAAAAAUGUGCAAAUAUAAGAGCAGAUACUUACCUAAAUCAACCUUGUCAAACUUUAUUUAAAUACCCGGGGAAGUUGUGCUUAAUCAUCAUGAGCUCUGUGCGGAAGCUCAUUCACCUGCUGCAUUAAGAAAUCAAUCUUGUAAUGAGUCCAAGCAGUAGUAAAAUGGAUCUAAUGGCUCAGAGCUGCAGUUGGUGAUAAGAGCUUAUUGAAAAGUCACUUCUUUGAUCCAUAACACAGCCACUAUGUGUCUUUAUAAUACAAAAAAAACCUUUCUGAGUACAUUGGGGAAAUAAAAGUGAAGCUAAAGCUGACGUAAAUACAGUCUGACCAUAAGGAUUGGAAAACCCUCAAGUGCCUGAGUGCAUGUGCCAGCGGGGACACUUCCAGCAGUCUAUGAUCGUUGACAAUUUCGUAUAACACUGAGGUUUCUGGAAGAAGCCCAGCGCUCUGUUGUUUACAAGACAAGUGCUUUUUACCUGCCAAGCCACAGCAUCUGCUCCCGCUCCUCUUUUUCUCCUCCUUUUUUUUUUAAAGCGGCGACCGAAGCAGCCACGAGCUUUGAAGGACAACUAUUUCAAUCCCUUUGAUUUCAAACUUUGGUUUAUUUAUAGAGGCUUUUAUAACCCAAAUAAAGCCUCGACAUCGUGUUUUACUGGAAAAUCAAAAGGGAACACUCGAACAUGAACACAUGCAAUCUUCUUCUAUCUUGUGCCAUUAUAUUCAUGAUGUUACAUCAGCAGUUAAAAACCCCAUCAUGCUUGUAAUUGCCGCCAUAUUGUCCUCUUCUUUCCACCCCUCCCUUUAAUCAUGUUACUAAAUCAGUGGGUCACAUCAUCGAGCAUUGACAAAGCAUUUCCUCUAUAAUUGGCUGCAGUGGGCCGAAUUCAUGAUAACCCAGAGGACGGCUGACAGCAUUUCAAACAAGCUGGAGAGAAAAGGAGCCCUUCCUUCCUCCUCCUCCAGCAGCAUGUAGCAACGAGGAGGGGAUGAAGAUGAUGUAACUUCAAAUCUUAAUGAUAGAUACUGUGUGUUAUAUCACGCUACAUUAUGGCAAUAACCAGCCAGAGCCUUGAGGGGGGUGUCAGAUUUAGGGGAAGAACGAGAUUGUGUUUGUCCAAUACAACCCGGUUUGACUUAUUUUAUAACAGAGAUGGUGAAGAUUUAGUGCUUUGAAAAGCCAGUAAACACAAUAAGACAUCUGAGCUCGUAUGUGUGAGCUAGAUGUACAAAAUUGAUAUUAAAGCUCCUGUGAGGAUUUGAUUAAGUGGUAAAAAACAGGAUAAAAUUAAUAAUGAGGCUUAUUCAUGACUAUGAUUAUUUCUAUGUGGUGAUUUUUCGUUUGCUUUAAGUGCAGUAAAGAAGGUCAGGUAAUUUAAAGCACAUUGAAGAAACAGCCUUUCCUUUCUUUAUUAUACCACAUUCGUUGAGUAGCAUUUGGAGCUAUUAAAAGAAAACAUGAUUGACACACGUUCAGGACAGGAAACAUCAAGAUUUAGUGUUGUGUCGUUCGCGAACGAUUCGUUCACAAGAACCAAAUCUUUAAAGUGAACAUACUGAACCGAAUCACUUCCUCAAGAGAUUCGUUCAUUUCUCACUGAAAAAUGAUUCUAGUGAUUCAGUACAUCUAAAAGAACUGGUGUGCCCAUCGCUAUCAAGAUUGUCACAGGAGCUUUAAAGUUCCUUUUUUUGUUAAAGCUCCUGUGUCGGUUCUGGCACUCCUUUUUGUCCUCUACGCGUUUGGGUAGUGACGCUUGGCAGUCGAUAGCCAAGUGUAUUAUCUAUUGUGAAUAUUUUAUGUAUCAAAAACAGGACUAUUUCUUACACUGCUUUGCUGACACCUACCCCCUCACACGGGUGUGUUCAAGCGUUAAAUACUAGGAUAUAAAAAUCAUGAAUGUGAUCGCUGAUGGUCUUGUUUGCUUUAAGAGAUCAUGAAAAAGCUUGAAUAUUAGUUACAGUCUAUUUUUAUGAAUGUAAAAAAAAAUGCUCAUAGGAGCUUUAAUGUAAUAUUUAUUGUUUACAUUUGUAGUUUACGUGGUUGUCUUAAGAUCCCAGUUCGUUAUUAAUCUCUUUUGCCUUAAAGCUUCUACGGACAUAUUUGUUUGCAUUGGUUUUGGCGCCCCCUCGUGGACUUCAAUUGCUUUUUUUCGUCUGCAGGAAAAAUUUCUACACAUUGAAUUUGAUUUAAUAUAUUUGCUGUCACAAUACUCAAUGCCAUCUUUUGUUCUUGUCUAAAACAGUUUAUCAACACUGUGUCAAAAAUGUGUUUACUAAGAAUGAAGAUCCUGUUCAUAGAGCUGAUUUUUACCUCGUUUUCGACCAAAUUUCAUCAUUAAAUCCCCCGUGAAUCCCACUCAGUCAGGAAAAGAAAACACAUUUUGCCAGUUCUGCCUUCAGAGUCGACAUUUACAUCCAGAUACACAGAUCUUUUUAAAGAGCACUCUGACAUAUCUCUCGUCUGGGCGCGAGUGCAAGACACUGAUUUGGGAGUCGCAGCAAGGGCGGCUUUUGUGCUCCCGCAGUCCAACAGCUUCUGCUGUCUGGCUUCUUCAAGUGGAGUGAGGGGCGACAAAGGUGGUUAUCCAUUGUUGCAUAGACAGGUGUAGUAAUUACAUUCUCCUCCAUUCAGGCCCUAUCUCCAUACAGCACCAGCACAGCCCUCUCAAACUCCAUUAUACGCUUGCCAGAUGGAACAAAAGACCAACAUUCAAUGCUUUUGGCACCCACAGAGAGACACUGACCCCUGCUGGGGUUAGACAUCAAAUUGUGUCAUGGCUGCAGAAUACAGUAUGACUCUUAAUAAAUGCUCACAUCAACCAGUGGAUUAUCAUCAUUUUGGCAUGAGUGCACUUUGAAGCCCUCAACCCUGCUCUGACCAGGCUCAGGUCAAUGUAAUAUUGAACUUGUAUGAUUUUUUUAUGGGCUUUUGACUGGAGCACAUAUUGCUUCAAGUGCCACAUAAUUUUACAAAGACUCCCGCUGAAAGCAAGGAAACAUAUGUAUUUGUAUGGUGCUUUAAAGCAGUAAAAAUCUGAAUUAUUUUGUAGUUGAAGGUCGCCAAGUCGCUUCAGGUCGCGUCGCCGAGGUCGCAGGACGCCAAGUCGCGUCGCUCCCAAAGUUCAAAUAUUUGAACUUUGGGAGCGACUAUCCGCGACCCCGUGCCGCGACAGCCAAUCAGGGCUCUGCUGACAUCAACAAACCGGCGAAACAAGGAAGAGGAGAAGAAGAAUCACACGACGUGGGGUGCGCGUUUUACCGGGACUGCACCUCCAAGGAGGAGGCAUGGGUGAAGGUGGCCCAUGAUUUCGGGCUAUCUGGUAAGUUUGUUUGUGUAUUUAUUUCAGUGAGCGGACUGUUUUAUGAAAACAUAGCUAACUGCCCCUGCUUGCUAGGCUACAUGUUUCAACGUAUGUGUGUGUGUGUCUUUGCAGUGGAUGUGUGCCGCAAGCGGUGGAAGGGGCUUAGGGACGUUUAUAUGAGGGACAGACAGAUAGACAGGCGUUCCGAAGCUGAGAUGGAGCGCCUGUAUUUCGUGUCCAGGCGGGAGAUGCUGCUUCCCACCCAGGCGAGGAGAUCCUCGAACUGUGCCGUCGACACACGGAAAUACCGCUGGAAGCGACCGUCGUCCAGGCAGAGUUUCUGGAGCAAGCGGUGAAAUUCACCCAGCUUCGUCCUCCUCCGGAUGGUUUCAUGCACCCAUAAACGCCGGCGGCGUCUACUGCGGAUGUACAGAUAUGCGGCAGCACCGAGGAUGAUGAACUGAAAACUGAGCUAGUGACGUUCUCAUGGAUGACGUCACCGGCGACCAGCCGCGACCUGCGACUGCAGCUUUGGACCCAUUGUGAACACACCAAAGCACCCCGCGACGCGACAAGACCGACCAAAGCGACGCGACGUUUGGUCUGAACGCCCCUUAAGAAGGAAGAGUGAUUGUUUGGGCUUUGACUGUCCGUCUCAUUGUCAUGAGUUGUGUUUGAUGCUGUAACCAGAAUGAAAUCCCACGAAAGGCUGCAUUGGUUGAUUCUGUCUUUAUGCAGUUCAUUUUUGCACCUUUGCAUCUAUGAAAUCUACUAUAGCUGGGAUUCAAGUCCUGGACUUAAUGACAAUAAAACUGCAGGAUGAAGAGGAGAUAAAAGGAUUUUACAAGAGUAAAGGUUUGUGUCCACUGACAAUGGCACUUGCACUACAACAGGUUCCCAGGUCAUGAAAACAAAGACUUCCACCCUUUUAUGGCUCCUGACUUGAUCUGGAUUUGACCAAAGAUGACUUAGGGCCCUUUUGCACACCGAGAGCGAAGCGUUUUGGUGUGCAGAGCAAGUGCCAGGGAAAGUGGAAACAAGCCCUUAACUCAUUUAAAGGCUUUAAGACGACAAAACUUUAGAGAAGUUUACUGAGUCUGGACUAAGAUUUAGUCUGGUUCACUCUCUAUAGUUUAUUGAUUUUUGGAGUAUUUUUAAUGUGUAGCACAAAAUAAUCAGAACUUUAAUAUAUAACUAUAACAAAUACAUCCUUAGAUCUGCCAAAAGUUGCAAACUGUAACUUUGAUAUUUGGCAAAGGCACAACACCUUGAGGCAUCAAUUCUUGUUCCUAAAAUUAAAAAUGAUAUCAUAUCUUGCAUUACAUAACGCCACUGCCCUGCACAGUACAACGAGUUCCCAAUUGAAUUGCAGAUACAGCUUGCACUUGAAUAUUGUUAUAUUCAUAUGGUUCAAAAUCUGACUUUUUUGCAGAGGUAUCAGCUAAAACCUAGCAGCUAAAAAUGAGAAUCUCGGCUCUCGAUUGUGCGACACUGCCUGUUUUUUUCAGAUUCUCUCAAAUUGAACUGUUAGGGCUCAGUAGACUAUUCCUAAUGAAUACAGGGGCGACACACAUCUCAUGCACAGAUGUUAUAGAGGAGCCUGAAGUGGCGCACAAAGCAAGGCACUUGUCUCGUCUGAUGAGAGGGCUCAUUUGGAACUGCCAUUAGUAGACGUAUGAUUUAUGACUGUGUCUGCAGAAACCAAUGCUUUCACUGCAGCAGCUCAGGAUGGAGGGUCUCUCUGCAGCUCCUGUGCUGCAGAUGAAGAACGGUGAGCUUUAGUGGUGUGUAAAGAUAGUAGAGAGGAGGUGUCAUACAGUGCUUAAUGAAGCUGGUUUGAAAUAAAAAAGAACUUGUGCAGGUUUAAUCAGAGGAGUCAUAAAAAAGCAUUUGUUGAACAGAGUGGGAUGCCGUUUAAUUUUAUUGUGUGGGGAGCUUUUGUGGUCGGCCAGGAGAGGAGGUUGGAUUUCAUUUGGAGUUCAAUUAACAUAAAACAGAGUUUUCUUGCUGUGAUAGGCAGGAAAAACAGUCAUGACAGGACAGAACUGUGAAAAGGAUUUGCUUUGUUGCGUUGUGUUUGCGCAAACCCCUCAAAACAACAAAGCACACAAGACAUGUAUCUAAGUUUUGAUUGGAUGAGUCUCAGGAGGAAGGACAUGACUUCAAACAGCAUGCUGAUGGUGGUUUUGCAUUGCAGCUACAUGCAAACAGACAAAUGUGUACGUUUUGUUUUUUCUAGGUCUACACUGGUAGUAUGAUAUAAGUGUCUCUGCCUGCAGCUGGGUGUUUUCCAGGUUAUUGUCUUUGAUGCAACACACCAGAAUAUAUCAUUGUAUCCAUGACAGGACUAACUAACUAUAAAAAAUAACAAAAAUAAGCUUCAAAUCACUCAGAGCUGACUGGAACAUGAAAUUUCUGUCUGUAUGAGCUUCAACAGGCAAUUGACCACCUUUACUGUUUAUUGAUUCUGCUAAAAAAAUAUGCUGCCAAUGGAAACAGGCCCUUAAAGGGAUAGUCUGGCGUAAAAUUAAUUUAGGGUCAAACACACCGUAACACCGAGUUAGACACCCCCCGGAGAGAUGAAUGUUGACGACAGCUUGCUUCUCUAGCUAUACCAACUUUAGUAACGACCGCAGGAUAGCAAUACACAGCGGUCUGAGGAGCCAUAAACAAACCUCAACCCAGCCACAGUACUAGCCACCAAACAUCUUUUUAACUUUGACUAAUUUCUUUAGCAAAGAGACUAAAUACAUCUCACCUACUCUCUUCCAGCAGCCGCUUGUUUGUAGAGAGACCUCAGGCCAGUCCGUUACGGACUGCAGCGGGGUGACACAGCUCAAGGAAGAACAUUUAUGAUCAUUUCUUCAUGUUUUCCUUGAAGUAAUAAUCACCAUAUUAACAUUUUGCACUGCAGACACGGUAGUUCUUCUGCCUUAUCCUCUCGGUCUGAUUGUAUUUCCAUGAAGUUAUGAUCAUAAAUGUUCUUCCUUGAGCUGCGUCACCCCGCUGUAGUCUGUGAUGGACUGGCCUGAGGUCUCGAUACAAUCAAGCGGCUGCUGGAAGAGAGUAGCUGCGUUGUGUUUAGUCUCUUUGCUAAAGAAAUUAGUCGAAGUUAAAAAGAUGUUUGGUGGCUAGUACUCUGGCUGGGUUGAGGGUUGAGGUUUGUUUAUGGCUCCUCAGACCGCUGUGUAUUGCUAUCCUGUGGUCAUUACUAAAGUUGGUAUAACUAGAGAAGCAAGCGGUCGGCAACACUCAUCUCUGGAGGGGGUGUCUAACUCGGUUUUGCAGUGUGUUUAAUCCUAAACUAAUUCUAUGCCAGAAUAUCCCUUUAAUGUUGUCAUAUUGUUAAUGAAGCUCACCAGUGUGUUUAGUUAUUUCCAUUCGAGGACUACAUUUACAUUCAACGAUCCUGUGCAAAAAUGUUGUCAGCGUAAACAGGCCCUUCGUGUUCCUUAUUUCUUAACACAGCUUAUAGAUACACGCCAUUGGUUCAAGUUCAGGACUAAUUAAUGGUUGAAAUCAAACAGAAGUAAGCUUUAAAUCACCACGAGCUGGAACAUGGAAUUUCUGCCUUAAUUAUUCAUGAUCCCUCUUAAAAAUACUGAUAGUGGAAACAGGCCCUUAAUAACUUCACUUUUUGUCUUUAUUCUUUAAUCUUGUUUCACUGACUUUCAUUUGUACUUUUCUGACUUACAGCAUGUCGCCACCACCUGCAAGUAAAUAUAUGUUUUUGAAACUGUGUGCUGCAGCUUUAAUUGCUCUGUCUGGGACAUAGUGGCACAAUUUUCUCACUUUUCUAACCACAACUUUUGACAAAAUCCAAAGAAUAAAGUCUGAUAAAAUACAAGAGAAGAACUUAAUUGAUCCCCAAAGGUUAAUUCGUCACCCCUCUGUCCAUUUAAGAGCCGCACCAUGCAUUUAAUAUCAGCCUCCUGGUUUGUUUAAUCCCAGUUUCACUCCUGUGUUUUUGCUCUCUAGUGUCUUGACAAGUUUCCACCUUCAAAUACGUCUGCCUGUGUGAACUUUUCUGAAUUUCUUUUGCCUCGUUCCUCAGCUCAGGUUUGAUUUUUCAAGUUGAGACAGCUUUUUCAUAUCUUUGCCGCCUCAAGAACCGACUUCUGAACACAACCCCAGCAAGCCAGAGUUACAGACCUUGUAUGCUGCACUUGUGAAGCAAACACUGUAUCCAAAAGGUGCCACCAGCGAGCCCUCAGGCACUGCCUCUUCUAUCAAACACCCUCAUAGUGGAAACAAACCCUCAGAGGGCAUGUAAACUUGGUCACCUGUCACUUUUGUUUCAUCUUUGUUCUGAUUUUCGUGUUACAUGUCAACAGGUUGCUCUUUUGGCCAACUUACACGUGCAAAAUCACAAUAUGAGCCGCUCACAAAAGCUAAUUAUCUUCCCUUCUGCUUUCCUCUCUGUCUUAAUUUCCUCUCUCUCUGCUCACUAAGUAGGAAAUGGAAGCUGAAGGCGUCAGGACCAGGGGUGUCGCUCCCUGCCUGGUUGCUCUGCCGUGCCACAUCUGUCCAUCUGUCAAGCAUACAGGCCCAUCAAUCAAACAGCUGAAUGCAGGUGAGUGCGAGGCGCGGCGUACAACCAUUAAUCACUCUGAGACACGGACAACAGCAGGGUGCACGGAGCGAGGGGGGGGAGUUGUGUUUUUGAGAGACCAAUACAGAAGAUAUGUUGUAAAUAACUCCUAUCAUGGUGGGACAUACUGUCUGUUUAUUUUCGCUUGUGUUGUUAUUUUUAUUCAGCGAGUUAAAGGUGCAGUCUCUGAAGCUUAUCAGCGCCUGUCUUAGUCUUCAUUUCAAAGCAUCUCCAGUCUGACAGCAAGCUAAUGCAUUCAUUAUGCCAUCAAAGCUGUGUGACUUUCUGCGAGGGUUAGGGUUUUCGCUACAUGAAAGGUUGUAAUUAGUCUUAAAAGGCUGGCAGUGAGCUCGUGUUAAAGCUCCUGCGGGGAGUUUUUCAGUGGGAAAGAAAAGUAGCAGAGUUUCACGCUGAUGCCUUUUUAAUGAGCGACAAAAGACAACAAUAUCGUCGGUGAAAAGGCCGAUUUUGACAAAACAGCUGUUUUGAAUGCUUACAACUGCCACCCGGGGCAGGGUUAGGUAUCAGGUGUUUUGACUGAUCGCAUGUUUCACCACAAAGAUUUUCACUCUUCUGCAUGUGCGAGACAAGAUCAGCAAAUGCAUUUGUAACAGGGGUUACUGGCGGCUGUCAUGGUGCUAUCACACGCUGCUGUCACACCAGUGAUUGAUGGCGUGGUCCAGUUGUAGGAGAAUUGAAAUAAGUUGAUCUGUUGCCUUUGUUUUGUUGUAGGAUUGACCAAUAAUGGCCGCAUUAAGGGCCUGUUUCCAUUGACAGCAUCUAUUGAGCAGGUUGAUGUGUCUUUUUAAGCUUAUAAAGACAGAAAUUCAGGUAUAACCACUUAAACUGAGCAGUUUGUAGCCAGCACAGGCAUGUGGAUGUCAACCAGUGAGGUGGUGUUCACUCUGUUAGUCAGGAGUAACCACACUCGGCAAACUAAUAUGACAUUUUCACCUGCAGACUCUGUUCACAUGUUAAAGUGGAGCAAAAUUGAGCUCAGUUUGGACAGUUUUCUGACUUUCAGACGAGUCGAUUAGUCAGAAUUUAAAUUAAACCGGAAGGAAACGAGCUGCUUGAUGACAUAUCAUCCCACUGAGCAUUUUUUGGUCUAAAGUCCCUUACACACUGGGGCCGACAUGAAUAUAGAACGUGAAAUUAAGAAAUAGUCGGAGGCGGAUUUUGACGUCCUGACUAUACACAUCAAACCCGAUGCGAUUUUGCGACUUUCCGGGGGGAAAAAAGACGCGUCCAGGAUGGAAGCGAGAAGACUGACACAACAGCAGACUGAGUGUUUUUCAGUUCUGAUUAGACUCUAGUGUUGAGAUGUCUGUCUGUCAUGAUAGCAUGUACUGAGUCGGGGUCAGUACCAGAUAAGAACAUUAAACUGUAAUCUAUAAACGUAAGGUAACAACAGAGACCUAAUGGUGCUGUGACAGUGAAAAUACAUAUGGUAUGUUGUAUCUGAACAGGUUAGCUUACGAGCUAAAGUUACUUAGCACAGAUGAAAGUUAAAACAAAGACGUUUAUCAAACUGUUAAAGCACACAAACCAUCGUCAUAUGAGAAAUCCGACGCUAUGACUCUCCACAAGUCGUCCUUCAGGUCGUUAUCUUUGUAAUAUUUGUGUGUAAACGAUCAUAAACAAUCAGCUGGUCGGCCAUGUUGGAUGUAACGGUGAAUCUGACGUCGCAACAACACGAAAUCUGAUUGGUCAGAAGUGGACACACAGUAUGCGAAACUUGAUGAAAAUUUGACCGUGAUACAGAAAAAAUUUAUGCCGCAAUAUCGCAGGACGGGAAACAGUCGCUGAUGUGAACGUAUGUAUUGACAGGAUACGGGUUCGAAAAAAAAUAUUGACGUCUGAAAUAAUCGCACGAAAAAAACGUGUGUGACAGGACCUGAAAAGAGGUCUAAUAGACGUCUAAAUGUAGCCUAGAUAAGUGGUCUAAAACCAGGCUACCUCAGGUCUAAAGUUAAAAGUUUUUUUAGACGUCUAAAUUUAGACCAAGUUUAGACUAAAUCUAACUCUGGGCUAUAUCUAUACUACACUGUAUUUUGCUCAACAGCUAUCAUGAUUAUUUUGGUUAAGUACUUGGAGAUCAGUUAUGCAACUCACAGUUGCUUUUUGAUAUAGAAAGUUAUCGAAUUAUGGGUUAAAGUGCAACGUCUAAAUUCUGUCUAAAAAUAUACAGAAUCUCGACGGUGGAAAUUAGGUCUAAAAAAACAACUAGAUGCCUAAUAGCCGUCUAUUGCUCAGUGAGAUUGUUUAGAAACUUGUACCUCCUUAUAUAGAUUCCACUUUUUUACACCAACUCCAUCGGAAAUCAUUAGAAAUUGUUGCCGAUUUCCUCUGAAGGUGUUCUCGGUUCAUCUGUAGUUUCAGUGCUUUUAAUGAGACCGGAAAGCUGCUUUCGUUGAACUUUCAGACUCCGACUUUUAGUCCUAAAGUAAUGACACCUUCAUCACGUAAACAGGGUUAUUUUCUCAGACUUUACACGCCCCUUUAAAAGCAACAGACAGUGUUAUGCGGCUGUAAUCGCAUACUGAGUGGGAACUUCCUUUUGAAGCCUCUCUUCUUCAGAGUGUCAAAAUAUGUGAAAGAGCAGGUAUAAUCCUCAGAUGACUAAUAUCGGUUUAAAAAGGCAGCUUUUUUUGGGCAUGCUUGGAAAUCCCAGAGUUGUUUCAAUAGACAGUCUCACUGCUGUCAAAAUUCGAUAUAAUAAGAGCUUUUUGCUUUAACACAGGGCUGGGGUUUGCACAUCUGAAUUUCAACACCAUUAACAUGCCGAGAUGCUCUGUAAAAACUUAAUUCAAGUCCAGGAAUUCAAGUCCUGGGCGUUAAGAACACAAAACUGCAGGAGAAAAGGAGUUUGAAAGGGCCAUGGGUCCAGGUCACGUCAGGAGCCAGGAAGAGCAGGACUCUCUUCCUUCUAGUGGGAUUCACUGAGAGGAUGUUUUGACUUCCUGACGGUCGACUGUGCGUCUGCAUUUCGGGUUAAAAACAGCCUUCCUCGUACCUGACAGCGCUGCCAUCCUCAUGCUGCUUUUGCUCGAGGCUGUGGAAACCUCUCUGAAGGGUCACAAGAUAAAAAAAACGUGGGUUGGGAGAUGACUGACAGGAUAGGACAGAGGGAGAGAAACAUACUUCAGCUCCAGUCUGACUUCUCCUUUCAAGAAAACAGGAUGAAGUAACUCCUUUGAAGGCUGUAAGGGUUUCCUAAAAGCUUGUUUGUGGAGCUGUGGGUGAAAAAGGUUCGGGCUAACUAGUUGUGAUCUAAUGUAAUCAAGGUUUUUUUAGUCGUAUGAAGGUGCUUUGUUUUUUCCUGACAGUUAAGAGUAAAAAAUAGACUCUCGGUCAUCGUGAACAAGCAGCAAACAGCGUUUCUGACACGCUGCCCGGCUGCAAUUCUGACAGAAACACACUUCAAAAAAGGCAAAUUCAGGCACGCUUUGCUCUGUCGGUAUGAUUCAGCUCUCAGCGAUGCUCCCUGCUGCGGGAAUUCAGCGCAGCAGCACGAAAUCCUCGGGAACAUGUUAACGAACACUCAGGGAGCAUUAUGGUAAUCCACCAGAGUGAAUUAACAGAGACAAUACGGCCCUCUGGGGCGCCCUCAACUCAUCGCAUGCAGGUAGAUGCAGCUUUAAGCUGACGCCAGCGGUAACACGGGUGUCGGGGAGACAUCCGGUGACGGUGAAUUAAAUAUUUGCUGAAGUGUCCUGCCACAAAUAUUUCAUUUUAAUGCAGACAUUGCGAGCUCUUUCCCCGGGCUGUUGCUCUUUCACAGCUUCUCCAAUUCAUCCUCAUAAUUAGGUUCAUCUUCUCCAUAAAACUCACCGCAUGUACGGUAAACACCUCCACGACUGUCCCUCUGUACCGUCUCCCGCGUGGCGAACAAACGGAGCCUCUCGCAGACAGCAGACAAAAAUACAGAAGCGCUUUCAGAGCGAUAAACAGAAAAUCAGAAGCAGGAUAACAAAGAGUUAAGAGUCAGAUUCAGUGAGCUGAGGACAGACAGAGAAGUCAGGGGAGUGAAUAGAGAUGGAUAACACUAUUUGGCUUCUUUACCUCGGUUUUUGUUUUCGUCUGCGUUUGUUGUUUUGUUGCAUUGAAGCGAAAGACUGGCAGAGACAAUAGUACAGUGGCUGAGUGACACUGUUGAAUUUUUAAGGAGUCACAGCUCAGAAAGAUGAUCUGCUUUGGGGUUUAUUGCCACACUCUUCAUAGUUACAACCUAAACAUUUUAAAAUUCUUUAAGACUAAUACUUUUAAUCUUCACCAUUCACCAUUUUUAACUGAUUAAGUUGACAAAUAAGCGCAUUUCCACCGAACUCCUGUAAAUGGUCGGAAUCGCCCUUUAGUAUCCCUCAGGUUACUUUAAAGUGCUGUUAAGAAUUGCCAAUAAAAGCUGUGACAUGGAGACGACAGGAAAGGGUUGUGAGGAAGUCACAAUACGGUGAGGGUACGUCGAGGGGUUGAAUGUAAACGUGGCACGACUGUGUAUCAGAUCAUACAAGGCCAAAUGUAAACUAGAAAAGCACUCGGAGAGCGCAGACCUCCGCCAAGCAGCUCAUGUCCCCCUUAUAUUGUGAUUCACACCAAAACUUUGACUGUUACGUGUCUUUUAUUAAAGUUUAUUUGUGUUUAAACUGGUAUGUUCACUGUUCAUAAUGUUCCUAAAACAAGAAAUGCCCUGACCAGGUUUCAAACCCAGGACCUUCUUAUUGUGAGGCGACAGUGCUAACCACUACACCACUGUACCGCCCAUUGGUUAUCUUUCAGCACUGAAAAUUCCAAUGACACCCUUAUUUUUGUGUGUUCUGGAUCACAGUAUCCAGAAUUUUGUCCGGAUCACCACCAAAAUUUGAUUGGAUCCUCCUGGGGCUGAGACGCACCUCUGGUGAAAAUUUCAGGUCAAUCCGUCUGUAACUUUCUCGGUAAAGUUGAUAACAGACAAACAAACAAAUCAACGCUACCGGAAACAUAACCUCCUUGGCGGAGGUAAUUAGCAUGUCGUUGUGCGGCCCGAUUUGUCAGUAUCAUGAUCUAGAAAAUGGAGGUAAAGUUGUACGCGGACGAUGUUUGGUUUCAUGGUGACUCAGUGGACAUUAAUCCACACAGAGGACUAAAAGUUGGUGGUUCUAGCUCUGCUAGUGGUAGCUGCACUUUGGAAACCGUAUUGGCAGACUUUGUGAUCUUGUCUUUAGUCAUUGCGAUGAAAAAAGUAGUAAAAUAACUUUAAAGAAUUGUUUAUUUAUUGGUCUCUAAAUUUCCAUUGAAACUACAAGGAGGUGACUCGCUCUGAAGCAUCCCUAAAUCACAUCGCCAUGUAAAGACAAGCACAAAUGAAGUUGUAGAUAUAACCCUGUUCUUACAAUUCAAAUCUACUGUUUUAGAUAUUGAAAAGACCAUUUUUGUGUUCCUGUAAUCCAGUUUCACCCCUCCAAACCAAAACUGUAAGGUCAGAACUGUUAGACUUUGACUUAUUUACUUUAACAGCUAGUUUUACAGUCAUCUCUGCUUGUCUGACAUUAACAAGGAACAGUAAAGCCGAUCAAAUGUCUCUAUUGAGCUCAAGGGCAGGACUCCAAACACCAAAUAAGUCGACUAAACACAAAUAGUAGAAGUUAAAUAUUGGUAGGGCUGUAAAUCCGAUGCCCUUGGCUUGAUGCAUUAAUCUGCAGCGAUAAAAGCAGAUCUUAAAUCCAUUCACCUGAUCUAUUUUACAUGCACCUUAACGAUCAUGUCUUAUUUUCUAAUAAAUGCGUUUUUGGACUUCAACACCCACGAGCCGAUUUCAGCCGGUGUCAUAGUGUAAAUUGUAUCAUUUUGCUUUUCAUUCAGACUGCAGCAUGUACCUGAGACGCGGGAGGAAUGCAAAGUAUGCCCGUGCAAUAAUUUGGUAUGGAGAGAAGACAGCGCUGCCAAAGAAAUCUUUAAUAAAAGAUAGACAACCUCCAACCUCACACAGCUGGUCGUGGAGCAAGAGAGGAAUGUAGAAGAGUUCUCGGGCCUUCAAUAAGAGCAGAAAAACAAAACCUGAGAGCUGUUGAAUGUUCCUCUGAUUAGAUGAGCGCCAUUUACAACGUCGAGUUCUUUUUGUUUACGUUUAUUAUGACGGCUAACCCAAAGGAAUGACCACCGCGCCGCUCUUUAAACACCUUUCUCACCGCGUUUGGCCGGGGCGUAUCGACCGCACUAAUUCAAACGGCAAAUUGCUUAAUAGCGGCUUUGCAUGAGGACGUAAAAUGGUUUAUUCAUGACGGAGCUGUUUUACCGCCGCUCACCUUGGACCUUUUUGAAUCCACUGGAAAGGAAAAUGGAGAGCGAGGAAAGCUAAAUAAGAGAAAGAGAGGGAGCGUAAGGAAUGAUAAUUUGCCAUAUGAAUAAAUAAUUUAAAAACAAACACGCGGCUGAGCUGUAGCAUGAAACGCCCCAAAGGCAAUUAACUCCUGAGAAAGAGAGAGGGCGAUUAAUUUUGUUUAUCAGUGAUGUAUAACUUUUAUACGGGCCUGUGAGGUUUAGGAGCUCCUGUUAUCUGAUUUUAUGACGCAUGUUUUAUUCAGAUACUCAUUCGUGGCUUUGCGAACGUCCAGCUCCUAACUGUAUGAAUUACAAGCUUUGAAAGGAAGUAACACAAGAUCUAGUCCGGGGCGGUAUGGUUUUUUCCACUCCCUGUCAACCUCUGCGUCCUCUAUUCAGCCUCUGUACUGUAUAUUUCUUUGCUCAGCAUGAAGAAAGUUGGAUAAGAAAAGUCCUGAGCGGCAAAAAUUCAACCGAGCAGAUUGAAAAAUGGUGAAAGUCUGAGAGAAGGAGCUGAAAUCUGAAAUUAUCUGAUGAGGGAGGUGAGGUCUGUAAACCAGGAGCACGAGGGCAAAUCAGCAAGAAGCACAUGAAUAAUCUACAACAUGAAGGUUACAGGUGAUGCGGUUAUGCUCUCUUAGGAGCUGGGAGGAGCUGAUCCUGGAUCCUGUCAGAGCUGCUAGGGGUCGACGAAGAGCGGGUCAAUCCUCUAAUUAGCAGAUAAGCGUCUCCAUACCUGUAGUUGACAUAUCUGAGUGACCUUGGGCGAGACACAAGGGGCGCGGGUCGCCCCUCAAGGCGAAGCAGUUGUUGUGGGAGCGUGAUUGGAUUAUAUCCUGAUGGGCAGCCGAACGCUUUGCAUCGCCGCCUCCGCAAUCGGUGAAACCCCGCCAGAAAGCUUCACGAGUUCUUGUAUGUGUGCUAAAGUGCAGCUCUUCAAAACCAGACUUUUUUUUUAAACGUUAUCUCCUUAAGCGAGCUCGUCUUUGUCCUCUCUGACCUUUUGCUUUCGAGUCUAGACUUCACAGCUUUGGGCCGUGCAGCGGCAGCAGACAGCAGGAGAGAGGACAAACGAGUUGAAAGGGCGCCCAAAGUGAAGGUGCCUCCACUCGCGUGCGAUCAUUACCGUCUUUGUAUUCUUCCGGCGCUUGCUGAGUCCGGUAAUUGAGAGCUGUUAGAAAGGCUGUUCUAUAAAAUCCUUGACUUUGAGUUUCCAUAGUGAGCGAGGUUCAUUUUGAAAGUUCACACAAGGUAACGGCAUGUAGAAAGGGAGCAGGGUCAAGCUGAGAGACACAGAUAUGAAUAGCUGCUCUUAAGCCUCCCACAGUCGAAUCUUUCAUUUCCAGAAACCAUAUUUGUCGGAGGCAUAUUUUCUCCCCGGCGAUCAGUGAGCGACGAUGUGAAACAGUGGGAAUAAAAGAUUGGAUGCAUGUCUGCUCUUGGCUGCCACACUUGUGCCCUUUUAUUCAGUCAACUUCGUCGUUCCUCGCAAGUUUCAUGAUGUUUCCUUGAACCCAGAAGCCAGGAAAGAAGAAGUGUGUCCCAGGACCAUCAUGAAGAAUCCGUGUAUGUGUCUUUUUUCUCCUCUUAACCCCUGGAUUUAAAGAUCUGCGUGGGUAUCCGUCGGUCAUCCAGAUACUUUUGCUACAUCAAAAGACUUCAAAGAUUGUUUUGAUCUCCAGAAAGAGAUUUUGACCUGAUGAAAUCAGGAUAAUAGGAGUUAGAUGGAUGCCGAGCGCAGUCAGCUCCGCUCCAGAAGUUCCCCACCUUUGAGAACCUGCUGCGCUUCAGGCUAAAAAGUAACCAUUGAAAUAUGCACUCAAAUGUCUCAUUUACAGCCUCUUUGAUAGAAAUGUGCCUUAAUAAAUCAGAUAUUCACUGGAGCACAUGUGUGAGAGCUCUGAAAUGAUUUUUUGGGGUGAGAGGUAUUAAUCAGCAAAUUGGAUCAAUCAGUCAGUGAGACGAGGAUAACAGAGUCUUCAGAGGGACUUCAAAAAGGAGAAGAAAGACCUCAGCUCUGUUAUGAUAAACCCAGUGAACUGUAAAGGCUUGACACAGUUAUUUAAAGUGUAUAGAAAUCAUGAACUUUCCGAGGAGUCAUAAACCCCGUGUCCUGCAAAAUAAAAGCAGUAAUUUUCUGUAAAGUUGACCUCAACUAAACACGUGAUUUCAGCCAACUUAGAUUUGUGUGUUUGACAUCAUGAGGUGUUCAUAGAUUUGGUUAGAUAUUAAGUUAGGAUGCCAAACUUGUGUAAGUCACUCCAGUGGUGCACAACUCUUACCUAUUGACUGUCUAUAGAAUGGACAGCGUCUGCCUCCUCGCUGGGUGAAGCCACUCCGAGAACAGCACCCUCUGGUGAGAGGCUGCAGUAUAGGUCAUAAAUCCCGCCUCCGCCAGCAAAGCUUAUGGAGCUGUGGACAAACUUUAGAAAUUUAUUACCCAGAGUAUAAAUGUUUCUCCCCCCUGCUUGCAAUGUUAAUAAUAAUAACACAUUUUAUUUAAAAGCGCCUUUCUGGACACCCAAGGACACAUGUUGACAUGUAGUUACUGUCAGACUGGUUUGUGCUCAAGUCCUCUGUUUUCUGUUUUUAAAAGUUAUUAGGGGGUUCAUGUUUUCUGUGCUUGACACUUGAUACAGCCGAUAGGCGUACGAAGAUUGCGUAGCUCAACCGGGGGAUACCCUGUUUGAGCCGAGCGUCAUCACAGCGACUCUCGGCGAGUCUCCCGCCGAAUGUGUACAAUGCUACUGCGCAAUGUUGGUUUCAGGAAGUGGAGAAAAACGAGGAAUCUGUACAUCGGCGGAAGGCGGAACCAGGGUAUCCAUAGUAUAUAUAGUCUAUGCUCUUACCUUAUUACUGUAAUGGUUGGGCUAUAAUGGAAUUUGCCUUUUGUACAAUGUGUGCAAAUUAACAAUUGAGCUCAUACCCAAAACUGUUGACUGUACCAGGCUGCAAACAUGUUUAAUUUUGUUGUAAAAGUGCACAUUUGAGCAGAAGACCUAUGGGGAUUCUUCAACAUUUGCAGCCAGCCUCUAGUGGACAUUCAAGGAACUGCAGUUUUUUUUUUUUUGUUUGUUUUUUUGCGCUUCUGCAUUGACUUUAUUUUUCUUAACCUUGGAGGAUUGGCUGAAUGACAUAGGAAGCUGAUUCGCAUGAUAAACAGAAAUGGGUUUUAUGCUUUUUUCCUCUUCAUCCAUCUCUUUGCUUCAGCUCAGAGUAAGCGUCCCUGGGGGGGGGGGGCAGCAGUCCAAGCAAGUGGACCCAAUUCCCUCUUUCCCCAACAACAUUUUCAAGCUCUUCCUCUUGCGUUCCCAGACAAGGUGGGAUAUGUAAUCCCGUCUGUAGGCUCUGGACCAAUCCAUGGUUAAGUAGUACCCCAAGGCCAAGCAGGACUGGUAAUAGCGAGUAACAUACAUCAUAUUGGAUUUGAGAGCUGCAGUUUUAUUUGAAAUUGACACCUCAGUGAGUCUUUUCGACAUUAGCAUGGAAGCUACGUCGCUCAUGUCGAUUAUGUAACCAUGACAUGUGCGCCUCAGAGGAAUAAAACACGCCAGACUUUUGCUGCAUAGACGUUAAAUAUAAGUAUGAUGCAAUUCGGCUUUCUCAUCUUUUUCAAGGCAAAAAAAAGCCCGAAUUGUCCUACAACCCUCUGAACUCAGCCUGAACUUAAAGAAGUGCAAGAAGCUGCAAACAUCUUGUCAAUCUACUCGUCUUCUGAGUUAAUUCGAGUAGUUUGAGUAACACGGACAUGACUGAUUUUCCUCCUACCUUUAACUGAAAAAAAAAACCCGAUGAAUUAUAAAUGAAGUUACCUGCUCUGUCUGGCCUGUUUCCAUCCUCUGCACCGUUUGUUUAUCACAGUAAGGAGAAGGGAAGGGGAAAAAAAAAAAAUUGCUCUGAAUAUGUGAAAAGCUGGAACACAUUUAUAGCGAGCCUCUCCACUCCGAACCCACCUGCCCUCAUUGAUGUGGCAAUUUCACACAAAAAUACAAUAAUAGCACAUGACCCGGGCCAUCCACUCCAUUGUCGCUUCACAAAAGUCCCCUCCGGCUACAGAUGCAGGAGGUUCAGGAGCAAAAGAGCCCAUUUCGGCGGGAGCUUUGCCCUGCGAGAGCCGUACAAAUUCUUAAGAAUGCCUUUUUUACAUUUAGAGAUUUAAUGUUCAGUUUUCACAUUUUAGCUGCAGAGCUAAAAUCCUUAACGCACUCUCAGAUAUUCCAAUUUGAAUUGGUGCGCACAAAGUAACAGCAAAAUUGGCUCCUCUGAAAAUUGCAUAAAUCUCAUUUCUAUGGUCUUAGAAAACGCGGCCUAAUACUAAAUGAAGCAGAAGUCCAGAGGCCAUUUUUUGAUUACCACGAGAGAGUUCAGAGGAAAUUUCUAACUUUGUACACACAAAAGCUGACUGAAUAGCCUAAAUAUCAGUUAGAGCACAUCUGCUGUGCUGCAGUGUCUGUAUUAGGAAUACAAAUAAACCGUGACAACAGCUGAAGAAGACUCUCCCAAGAAUUACACCGAAACAAGAAAAUCAGUCUGUUUUCACUCCUGCAGGUGCUGCAUCUGUUUGGACUGUCACUCCAAGUCAAGAAACUGAACUCUCUUUCUGAGGCCGUGUUCACUUCCUCUGACAUCUUGAUCGCUGCCUAACAAGGCUGUGUUUGUGCACUCUUUAUUCACAUUACUGUUAUAUUUAGUAGGAGUCUUAUUGAGGAUCUAUCAUAAAGAUAUCUGAGUGUGACCUUUGACACAAUUGCUCAUCACAUCCUUCCAGAUCAGACCUGGGUAUUUUACGGUGCCUGAGGGCCACAUCCGGCCCUUUGGAUGUCCCUGCCCAGCCCUUCGUGAGGUGCAUUAAUCAAAUCAUCAACAUGCUUUUAUUUUGAAAACCUAGCUGUGCAUUUGUCUGCAUUUGUGAACAGAGACAAGUUUAAACAUCUGCAAAGUAUACGUAGACGCCUUAUAGUUGCCAAGUCUGCUUAUUAUAAAAGACUUUAGGCUUGUUUCUCUCAGAAGUCGCUUGUAAAACUCGUGAGUCACUGAUGCGCUUUUUUUGGGCUUGUUUUUAACUAGUAGUUGCUUAUUUGGGCUUUCUUUUCUGUAUGUGUGAAGAUAUUGUUGGUUCAGCACUGGUUUGAAUCAAACUUCUCUGGCUGCACUCAGUUCAUAAAACUUAAAGGGAUACUCUGGCGUAGAUUAAUUUAAGGUCAAACAUACUGUUACACCGAGUUAGACACCCCGUCAAGAGAUGAAUGUUGCCGACCGCUUGCUUCUCUAGUUAUACCAACUUUAGUAACGACCGGACGAUAGCAAUACACAGCAGUCUGAGGAGCCAUAAACAAACCUCAACCAAAACGCCAAAUAAUGCUCAGAACAGCACCUAACUUCAUCAACAGGACAUAUAGGGUCACAGACAUAGUACUAGACACCAAACAUCUUUUUAACUUUGCCUAAGAGACUUAACACAACUCACCUACUCUCUUCCAGCAGCCGCUUGUUUGUAGCGAGACCAGUUCUUUACGGACUACAGCGGGGUGACGCAGCUCAAGGAAGAACAUUUAUGAUAAUUUCUUCAUGGAAAUGCAAUCAGACUGAGACGCU